AGAGUUUGAUCCUGGCUCAGAUUGAACGCUGGCGGAAUGCUUUACACAUGCAAGUCGAACGGCAGCACGGGGGCAAUCCUGGCGGCGAGUGGCGAACGGGUGAGUAAUACAUCGGAACGUGCCCAAUCGUGGGGGAUAACGCAGCGAAAGCUGUGCUAAUACCGCAUACGAUCUACGGAUGAAAGCAGGGGAUCGCAAGACCUUGCGCGAAUGGAGCGGCCGAUGGCAGAUUAGGUAGUUGGUGAGGUAAAGGCUCACCAAGCCUUCGAUCUGUAGCUGGUCUGAGAGGACGACCAGCCACACUGGGACUGAGACACGGCCCAGACUCCUACGGGAGGCAGCAGUGGGGAAUUUUGGACAAUGGGCGAAAGCCUGAUCCAGCCAUGCCGCGUGCAGGAUGAAGGCCUUCGGGUUGUAAACUGCUUUUGUACGGAACGAAAAGGUCUUUUCUAAUAAAGAAGGCUCAUGACGGUACCGUAAGAAUAAGCACCGGCUAACUACGUGCCAGCAGCCGCGGUAAUACGUAGGGUGCAAGCGUUAAUCGGAAUUACUGGGCGUAAAGCGUGCGCAGGCGGUUAUAUAAGACAGUUGUGAAAUCCCCGGGCUCAACCUGGGAACUGCAUCUGUGACUGUAUAGCUAGAGUACGGUAGAGGGGGAUGGAAUUCCGCG
rnacentral:rRNA from 1 species